rnacentral:rRNA from 1 species
GAUGAACGCUGGCGGCGUGCCUAAUACAUGCAAGUCGAACGAAACUUCCUUAUCACCGGGCGCUUGCACGCGUCAAUAAAGGGAAGAUUGGCUAACGGGUGAGUAACACGUGGGCAACGUGCGCUAAAGAGGGGGAUAACACUUGGAAACAGGUGCUAAUACCGCAUAACCAUAGUUACCUCAUGGUACCUAUGUAAAAGGUGGCUAUACUACCGCUUUUGGAUGGGUCCCGGGCUCAUUAGCUAGUUGGUAGGGUAAAGGCUUACCAAGGCAAUGAUGCUUAGCGCAAUCGAGAGGUAGAUCGGAUACAUGGGGACUGAGACAGGGCCCAAACUCCGACGGGAGGCAGCAGUAGGGAAUCUUCCAGAAUGGGGGAAAGCGUGAUGGAGCAACGCCGCGUGGGUGCAGAAGGUCCUCGGAUCGGAAAGCCAUGUUGUUAGAGAAGAAAGUGAGUUAGAGUAACUGUUCACGUUUCGACGGUACCUAACCAGAAAGCCCCGGCUAACUACGUG